ACAACAUUUGGACCGUCGGUCUACCGAGAAAAUAUCUGCAGCUCGGUGAAAGAUCUUUCCUUUCGUCGA
rnacentral:pre_miRNA from 1 species